rnacentral:rRNA from 1 species
CCCGGCGAAAUUGAAUUAGUGGUGAAGAUGCCAUUUACCCGCACUAGGACAAAAAGACCCCGUGGAGCUUUACUGUACCUUGGCAUUGCGUUGAGAUUUGUUGUGCGUAGGAUAGCUGGGAGGCUUGGAAGCUGGGUUCGCGGACUCGGCUGAGCCAACGUUGAAAUACCAGCCUCAAGAAAUUUCGACCCUAACGUUACACCGUUAACCGGUGAACGGACCGUGCCAGGUGGGCAGUUUGACUGGGGCGGUCGCCUCCUAAAGGGUAACGGAGGCGCCCAAAGGUUCCCUCAGGCUGAAUGGAAACCAGCCGUUGAGUGCAAAGGCACAGGGGAGCUUGACUGCGAGACCUACAAGUCGAGCAGAGACGAAAGUCGGGCUUAGUGAUCCCACGACUCUGUGUGGAAAGGUCGUGGCUUAUCGGACAAAAGCUACCCCGGGGAUAACAGGCUGGUGAAGCCCAAGAGUUCAUAUCGACGGCUUCGCUCGGCACCUCGAUGUCGGCUCGUCGCAUCCUGGGGCUGGAAUAGGUCCCAAGGGUUGGGCUGUUCGCCCAUUAAAGCGGUACGCGAGCUGGGUUCAGAACGUCGUGAGACAGUUGACUGAAAAGUUGAGCUGUCCUUAAAUUCGGCUGUAUGCUGGAAUAUCUGAAUAGUAUCUGGCGCUACUCGCAAGAGUGAAAAUGCGACCAGUGCAGAUGACCAGCAGGAAAGACUUGCAUGCACGAUGACAUCAGCAACGAUUAUCUUGCAGGAUUCGCUGACGGCGAAGGUUGUUUUUACGUGGGCAUCGUCCCCGCAAAAACCGCCAAAUUCGGUUGGCAAGUUAUAACUGAAUUUCGAGUUAGUCAGAAUCCGCAAGGCAACCGAAUUCUCGAAUCCUUUCGCGAACGACUCAAGUGUGGAACAAUCAGACCAAAUCAUCGCUUGUCAUUGACGGACAAGACAGCGGUCUAUGUGGUUCGCGAUCAAAGCGAAUUGUGCAACAAGGUUGUUCCGUUCUUUGACCAACAUCCGAUUCAAUCGGACAAACGAAAUCAAUUCGAGAAAUUCAAAAUCAUCUUGCUGAUGAUUCAAGAGCGAAGACAUCUUACGCGCGAAGGAUUUGCAAAAAUCGUUGAAAUCGCAAAUGAGAUGAAUACAAAAAGUAAACGUUACAGCAAGGAACAAAUCCUUGUAUCGCUCAAAUAGCAAGAAUCCUCAGAGACUAUACGCCGAAUCCUGAAAUAUCAGGAAAGAUAUAGUCCGAUCUGCAUGGCGACAUGCAGAAGUUGGCAGAAAUGUCCAACUCGUUCCACGUCCUGAGCAUUGUCGAAGGAACGUGGAAUGGUAACAGAAUGUCGGUCUCUAUCCAGUGUGGGCGCAGGGGAUUUGAGGGGGGCUGCUCUUAGUACGAGAGGACCAGAGUGGACAGACCGCUGGUGUGCCAGUUGUCCCGCCUAGGGGCAUCGCUGGGUAGCCAAGUCUGGCAGUGAUAACCGCUGAAAGCAUCUAAGUGGGAAGCACGCCCCAAGAUUAGAUCCCCCAUUCGGUCAACGAAGUAAGCGCGGUUGUAGACCACAACCUUGAUAGGGUAGGCGUGUAAGGCGCAAGGUCGCAAGACCAAGUGUUUCAGCGUACUACUACUAAUGCGCGAGGGCUUACUC